rnacentral:rRNA from 1 species
CCCUUAGAUGUCCUGGGCCGCACGCGCGCUACACUGACAUGUUCAACAAGCCUCCUAGUUCGACAGGAUUUGGGAAAUCUUUGAACGCAUGUCGUGAUAGGGAUAGAUCAUUGCAAUUAUUGAUCUUGAACGAGGAAUUCCUAGUAAACGCGAGUCAUCAGCUCGCAUUGAUUACGUCCCUGCCCUUUGUACACACCGCCCGUCGCACCUACCGAUUGAAUGUUUCGGUGAAGAUUCCGGAUAGGACUUUUCUGAUUUAUUUCAAUUUUGUCUUAAAAGCUAUCUAAACCUCAACAUUUAGAGGAAGGUGAAGUCGUAACA